rnacentral:rRNA from 1 species
CGGUUAAGUUAGAAAGGGCGCACGGUGGAUGCCUUGGCACUAGGAGCCGAUGAAGGACGGGACGAACACCGAUAUGCUUCGGGGAGCUGUAAGCAAGCUUUGAUCCGGAGAUUUCCGAAUGGGGAAACCCACUGCUCGUAAUGGAGCAGUAUCCAUAUCUGAAUUCAUAGGAUAUGAGAAGGCAGACCCGGGGAACUGAAACAUCUAAGUACCC